rnacentral:rRNA from 1 species
CCCUCCGAGACGGAUCCCGAGUAGUGCGGGGCACGUGAAACCCCGUAUGAAUCCGGCAGGACCAUCUGCCAAGGCUAAAUACUCCCUGGUGACCGAUAGCGAAGCAGUACCGUGAGGGAAAGGUGAAAAGGACCUCGGAAGAGGAGUGAAACAGAACCUGAAACCGUGCGCUUACAAAAAGUCAGAGCCCAAUUAAGGGGUGAUGGCGUGCCUUUUGUAGAAUGAACCGGCGAGUUACGUUUGCAUGCAAGGUUAAGGUGAGAAGCCGGAGCCGCAGCGAAAGCGAGUCUGAAUAGGGCGACUGAGUAUGCAGGCGUAGACCCGAAACCGGGUGAUCUACCCCUGUCCAGGGUGAAGGUGCGGUAACACGCACUGGAGGCCCGAACCCACGUACGUUGAAAAGUGCGGGGAUGAGGUGGGGGUAGCGGAGAAAUUCCAAUCGAACCCGGAGAUAGCUGGUUCUCCCCGAAAUAGCUUUAGGGCUAGCCUCGGAUGAAGAGUUGUGGAGGUAGAGCACUGAUUGGGUGCGGGGCCCGCCAAGGGUUACCAAGUCCAGUCAAACUCCGAAUGCCAUCAACUUAUAUCCGGGAGUCAGACAGUGAGUGCUAAGAUCCAUUGUCAAAAGGGAAACAGCCCAGACCAUCGAUUAAGGUCCCCAAGUGUGUGUUAAGUGGGAAAGGAUGUGGAGUUGCCCAGACAACCAGGAUGUUGGCUUAGAAGCAGCCACCAUUUAAAGAGUGCGUAAUAGCUCACUGGUCGAGUGACUCUGCGCCGAAAAUGUAACGGGGCUAAACACACCACCGAAAUCAUGGCUUGAUGCUUAUGCAUCAGGGGUAGGGGAGCGUUGAAUACGGAUUGAAGGUGUACCGGAAGGAGCGCUGGACUGUAUUCAAGUGAGAAUGCCGGUAUGAGUAACGAAAAGAUCAGUGAGAAUCUGAUCCGCCGAAAACCCAAGGGUUCCUGAGGAAGGCUCGUCCGCUCAGGGUUAGUCGGGACCUAAGGCGAGGCCGAAAGGCGUAGUCGAUGGACAACAGGUGGAUAUUCCUGUACCGCCGUAAACCGUUACGAGCAAUGGAGUGACGCAGGAGGGAAGGGACGCGGACUGAUGGAUGUCCGUCCAAGCAGUAAGGCUGGUGCGUAGGCAAAUCCGCGCAUCGCAAGGCUGAGCUGUGAUGGGGAGCGAAAAUUACAGUAGCGAAGGUCCUGGGCUCACACUGCCAAGAAAAGCUUCUAGCCAGGUGAAGGCGCCCGUACCGCAAACCGACACAGGUGGGUGGGAAGAGUAUUCUAAGGCGCGCGGAAGAACUCUCGUUAAGGAACUCGGCAAAAUGACCCCGUAACUUCGGGAGAAGGGGUGCCCCGGUAGUGUGAAUAGCACGAGGGGGCCGCAGUGAAAAGGCCCAAGCGACUGUUUAGCAAAAACACAGGUCUGUGCGAAGCCGCAAGGCGAAGUAUACGGGCUGACGCCUGCCCGGUGCUGGAAGGUUAAGAGGAGGGGUUAGCGGCAACGCGAAGCUCUGAAUUGAAGCCCCAGUAAACGGCGGCCGUAACUAUAACGGUCCUAAGGUAGCGAAAUUCCUUGUCAGGUAAAUUCUGACCCGCACGAAUGGCGUAACGACUUGGGCGCUGUCUCAACGAGAGAUCCGGUGAAAUUUUAAUACCUGUGAAGAUGCAGGUUACCCGCGACAAGACGGAAAGACCCCAUGGAGCUUUACUGCAGCUUGAUAUUGGACUGGGGUGCGAUUUGUACAGCAUAGGUGGGAGCCU